CAUCCUGCGUGCACGGGGUGCAGUGUGGGGAUGGGAGUUGUGUGUGGGAAUCCCAGUGGUGUAACGGGGUGACGGACUGUCCUGCAGGCCAGGAUGAAGCCAACUGUGUGAGGCUGCACGGUUCCAGUUUCCUGCUCCAGAUCUACUGGACUCAGACCAAAGACUGGAGGACUGUUUGCUCUCACGGCUGGAGCGAGCGCCAGGGGAGAGCGAGCUGCCAGGACAUUGGUUACAGUAGGGGCACAUAUUUCAAGUCUGGUCUGCAGAGUGCUGAGGGUGAUGAUGGAUUCUUGGUCGUGAAGUCUGAUGCCAACACUGAGGCGUCCAUACUGCAACAACUGGCCGUAAGCAAUUCAUGUCCUAACAACAGUGUGGUGA